rnacentral:misc_RNA from 1 species
GAUGAAGAACGUAGCGAAAUGCGAUAAGUAAUGUGAAAUGCAGAAUUCAGUGAAUCAUCGAAUCUUUGAACGCACCUUGCACCCUUUGGAAUUUUCCAAAGGGUAUGCUCGUUUGAGUGUCAUUGUACUCUCACACUCUCCGAUCCUUUGGAUAUGGGGAGCGGUGGACUUGGGUGCUUGCUGCUUCCUUGUGGCUCACCUGAAAUGCGUCAGUGCAUCUCUUGAUUGGACAUAGUACGGCGUGAUAAGUGUCUUCGCCGGCACCUCAUAAGAGGGUGGCCGAUCGGGAGCUCUGUGCUUUCAAACCGUCUUCGGACAAUCCCUGACAACUUGACCUCAAAUCGAGUAGGACUACCCGCUGAACUUAAGCAUAUCAAUAAGCGGAGGA